rnacentral:rRNA from 1 species
GAUGAACGCUGGCGGCGUGCCUAAUACAUGCAAGUCGAGCGAAUGGAUUAAGAGCUUGCUCUUAUGAAGUUAGCGGCGGACGGGUGAGCAACACGUGGGUAACCUGCCCAUAAGACUGGGAUAACUCCGGGAAACCGGGGCUAAUACCGGAUAACAUUUUGAACCGCAUGGUUCGAAAUUGAAAGGCGGCUUCGGCUGUCACUUAUGGAUGGACCCGCGUCGCAUUAGCUAGUUGGUGAGGUAACGGCUCACCAAGGCAACGAUGCGUAGCCGACCUGAGAGGGUGAUCGGACACACUGGGACUGAGACACGGCCCAGACUCCUACGGGAGGCAGCAGUAGGGAAUCUUCCGCAAUGGACGAAAGUCUGACGGAGCAACGCCGCGUGAGUGAUGAAGGCUUUCGGGUCGUAAAACUCUGUUGUUAGGGAAGAACAAGUGCUAGUUGAAUAAGCUGGCACCUUGACGGUACCUAACCAGAAAGCCACGGCUAACUACGUGCCAGCCGCCGCAGUAA